rnacentral:rRNA from 1 species
GCAGCAGCCGCGGGAAUACGAACCGUGCGAACGUUAUUCGGAAUCACUGGGCUUAAAGCGCGUGUAGGCGGGACGGCACGUCGACUGCUGAAAUCCCUCGGCUUAACCGAGGAACGGGCAUCGAUACGACCGUCCUGGAGGGACGUAGGGGGACCUGGAACUUCCGGUGGAGCGGUGAAAUGCGUUGAGAUCGGAAGGAACGCCCGUGGCGAAAGCGGGGUCCUGGACGUCUACUGACGCUGAGACGCGAAAGCUAGGGGAGCGAACGGGAUUAGAUACCCCAGUAGUCCCUGUCUCUUAUA